ensembl:lncRNA
UGGACCUUUGGCAACAAGGACAUGUGUGUUUCCCGGACCUUCUCAGGAAGUGAUAGAACACCCUGUUACAUGCUGUAUCAUCACAGCUUUGCAUCAGAAUACCUGUAUACUUUACCCACACACCGAGAGUUGGCUAGAUAUGGUGGAGUUGGCUAGAUACGGUUGAGUUGGCUAGAUACGGUUGAGUUGGCUAGAUACGGUUGAGUUGGCUAGAUAUGGUGGAGUUGGCUAGAUACGGUUGAGUUGGCUAGAUACGUUUGAGUUGGCUAGAUACGGUUGAGUUGGCUAGAUACGGUUGAGUUGGCUAGAUACGGUUGAGUUGGCUAGAUACGGUUGAGUUGGCUAGAUAUGUUGAGUUGGCUAGAUACGGUUGAGUUGGCUAGAUACGGUUGAGUUGGCUAGAUACGGUUGAGUUGGCUAGAUAGGUUGAGUUGGCUAGAUAGGUUGAGUUGGCUAGAUACGGUUGAGUUGGCUAGAUACGUUGAGUUGGCUAGAUACGGUUGAGUUGGCUAGAUACGGUUGAGUUGGCUAGAUACGGUUGAGUUGGCUAGAUAUGGUUGAG